CGAGAGGCUCAAGUUGACAGACACCGGCGUAAAGAGUGGUUAAGGAAAUUUUUAGAUUAAAGCCGAACGCCUACAAGACUGUCAUACGUUCUUCGAAGGUAUGAAGCCCCACCACGAAAGUGGCUUUAUCCCCCCUGACCCCACGAAAGCUGAGAAACAAACCGGGAUUAGAUACCCCAUUAUGCUCAGCCGUAAACUUUGAUAGCCUACUACACCCGCUAUCCGCCCGGGUACUACGAGCACCAGCUUAAAACCCAAAGGACUUGGCGGUGCUUAACAUCCAUCUAGAGGAGCCUGUCCAAUAACCGAUAAUCCCCGUUAAACCUCACCCUCCCUUGUCUUUCCCGCCUAUAUACCGCCGUCGUCAGCUCACCCUUUGAGGGAACCAUAGUAAGCAAAAUUGGCACAGCCCAGUACGUCAGGUCGAGGUGUAGCUAAUGAGAGGGGAUGAGAUGGGCUACAUUUCCUAAACAAGGAAAUACGAAUAAUGAUUCUGAAACGAGCAUUAGAAGGAGGAUUUAGUAGUAAGUAGAAAACAGAGUGUUCUACUGAAUCGGCCACUUAAGCGCGCACACACCGCCCGUCACUCUCCCCAAGCUAAACAAAAAUUCAUUCCUAAAACCCCCACCUGCGA
rnacentral:rRNA from 1 species